CAUAGCUCCUUGCAAACCCAUAAGGAGUAACGCCUGCCCAGUGGAAAAAUCUAAACGGCCGCGGUACCUUGACCGUGCAAAGGUAGCAUAAUCACUUGUCUUUUAAAUGAGGACCCGUAUGAAUGGCAAAACAUCUUCUAACUGUCUCUUUUCUUACCCUUCUAAACUUCUAACAAUGUGAAGAAGCAUUGAUAAUAAAGAAAGACGAGAAGACCCUGUCGAGCUUCAACUUCCAAAAGAAUCACCUAACUUUUUCAUAAAAAUUAACACAUCUCUAAAGAAGUUUUGGUUGGGGCAACCAUGGAGAACACCAAUCCUCCAGAACAACAAAAUAAAGAUCAUAAAUCAUAUUUUCCUUAAACUCUAAAUAAAGAACCAGACCCACUGGAAAACAGAAAAAGUUACCGCAGGGAUAACAGCGUCAUCUCCUUCAAGAGUCCAUAUUGACAAGGAGGAUUGCGACCUCGAUGUUGGAUUAGGGCCACCAAAGGGUGCAGCAGCUCUUAAGGUUGGACUGUUCGUCCAUUAAACCCCUACAUGAUCUGA
rnacentral:rRNA from 1 species